rnacentral:rRNA from 1 species
UACAGAGGGUGCGAGCGUUAAUCGGAAUUACUGGGCGUAAAGCGCGCGUAGGCGGCUUUUCAAGUCGAUUGUGAAAUCCCCGGGCUUAACCUGGGAACUGCAGUCGAGACUGUCUAGCUAGAGUAUGGGAGAGGGAAGUGGAAUUUCAGGUGUAGCGGUGAAAUGCGUAGAUAUCUGAAGGAACAUCAGUGGCGAAAGCGACUUCCUGGACCAAUACUGACACUCAUGUGCGAAAGCGUGGGGAGCAAACAGG